rnacentral:rRNA from 1 species
GAUGAACGCUGGCGGCGUGCUUAACACAUGCAAGUCGAACGGAAAGGCCCAAGCUUGCUUGGGUGCUCGAGUGGCGAACGGGUGAGUAACACGUGGGUGAUCUGCCCUGCACUUUGGGAUAAGCCUAGGAAACUGGGUCUAAUACCGGAUAGGACCAUCGUUUAGUGUCGGUGGUGGAAAGUUUUUCGGUGUGGGAUGAGCUCGCGGCCUAUCAGCUUGUUGGUGGGGUAAUGGCCUACCAAGGCGUCGACGGGUAGCCGGCCUGAGAGGGUGUACGGCCACAUUGGGACUGAGAUACGGCCCAGACUCCUACGGGAGGCAGCAGUGGGGAAUAUUGCACAAUGGGCGCAAGCCUGAUGCAGCGACGCCGCGUGGGGGAUGACGGCCUUCGGGUUGUAAACUCCUUUCGCCAAGGACGAAGCGUUUUGUGACGGUACUUGGAGAAGAAGCACCGGCUAACUACGU